rnacentral:rRNA from 1 species
AGCAGCCGCGGUAAUUCCAGCUCCAAUAGCGUAUAUUAAAGUUGUUGCAGUUAAAAAGCUCGUAGUUGAAUUUCGGAACCAAUAUGUCGGUCGUGCCUCGGUACGUACUGGUGUCAUUGGUUUCUCCCUUCUGAGGAUCCUUGAUGUCAUUAAUUUGGUGUCUUGGGGAAUCAGGACUGUUACCUUGAAAAAAUUAGAGUGUUUAAAGCAGGCAUACGCUUGAAUACAUUAGCAUGGAAUAAUGAAAUAGGACGUUCGAUUCUAUUUUGUUGGUUUCUAGGAUCGACGUAAUGAUUAAUAGGGAUAGUUGGGGGCAUUAGUAUUCAAUUGUCAGAGGUGAAAUUCUUGGAUUUAUUGAAGACUAACUACUGCGAAAAGCAUUUGCCAAGGAUGUUUUCAUUAAUCAAGAACGAAAGUUAGGGAUCGAAGACGAUCAGAUACCGUCGUAGUCUUAACCAUAAACUAUAGCCGACUAGGGAUCGGAUGAUGUUAAUUUUUAUGUACUCAUUCGGCGCCUUAA